CGUAGGGGGCAAGCGUUGUCCGGAUUUAUUGGGCGUAAAGCGCUCGCAGGUGGUCCGUCGCGUCGUGCGUGAAAGCCCCCGGCUCAACUGGGGAGUGUCGUGCGAUACGGGCGGGCUGGAGGCCAGUAGGGGGAUGCGGAAUUCCGGGUGUAGUGGUGGAAUGCGUAGAGAUCCGGAGGAACACCAGCGGCGAAGGCGGCAUCCUGGACUGGACCUGACACUCAUGAGCGAAAGCGUGGGGAGCGAUCCGGAUUAGAUACCCGGGUAGUCCACGCCGUAAACGAUGCGCACUAGGUGUCGGGGGUAUCGACCCCCUCGGUGCCGCAGCUAACGCGAUAAGUGCGCCGCCUGGGGACUACGGCCGCAAGGCUA
rnacentral:rRNA from 1 species